UACGAAGGGUGCAAGCGUUACUCGGAAUUACUGGGCGUAAAGCGUGCGUAGGUGGUUUGUUAAGUCUGUUGUGAAAGCCCCGGGCUCAACCUGGGAAUGGCAAUGGAUACUGGCAGGCUAGAGUGCGGUAGAGGGUAGUGGAAUUCCCGGUGUAGCGGUGAAAUGCGUAGAUAUCGUAAGGAAGACCAGUGGCGAAGGCGAGUCUCUGGACAGCAACUGACGCUGAGGCACGAAGGCCAGGGGAGCAAACGGG
rnacentral:rRNA from 1 species